rnacentral:rRNA from 1 species
UACGAGAGCCCCGAGCGUUAUCCGGAAUUACUGGGCGUAAAGGGUGCGUAGGUGGUUAUGUUAGUCGUCCGUAAAAUCUCCGAGCUCAACUCGGAACCUGCGAACGAAACGGCAUAACUUGAGAGUGUGAGAGGUUUCUGGAACUCAUGGUGUAGGGGUGAAAUCCGUUGAUAUCAUGGGGAACACCAAAAGCGAAGGCAAGAAACUGGCACAUAUCUGACACUGAAGCACGAAAGCGUGGGUAGCGAAUGGG